rnacentral:rRNA from 1 species
GAUGAACGCUGGCGGCGUGCCUAAUACAUGCUUGUCGAGCGAACAGACGAGGAGCUUGCUCCUUUGACGUUAGCGGCGGACGGGGGAGUAACACGUGGGUAACCUACCUAUAAGACUGGGAUAACUUCGGGAAACCGGAGCUAAUACCGGAUAAUAUUUCGAACCGCAUGGUUCGAUAGUGAAAGAUGGCUUUGCUAUCACUUAUAGAUGGACCUGCGCCGUAUUAGCUAGUUGGUAAGGUAACGGCUUACCAAGGCAACGAUACGUAGCCGACCUGAGAGGGUGAUCGGCCACACUGGAACUGAGACACGGUCCAGACUCCUACGGGAGGCAGCAGUAGGGAAUCUUCCGCAAUGGGCGAAAGCCUGACGGAGCAACGCCGCGUGAGUGAUGAAGGUCUUCGGAUCGUAAAACUCUGUUAUUAGGGAAGAACAAACGUGUAAGUAACUGUGCACGUCUUGACGGUACCUAAUCAGAAAGCCACGGCUAACUACGUGCCAGCAGCCGCGGUAAUACGUAGGUGGCAAGCGUUAUCCGGAAUUAUUGGGCGUAAAGCGCGCGUAGGCGGUUUUUUAAGUCUGAUGUGAAAGCCCACGGCUCAACCGUGGAGGGUCAUUGGAAACUGGAAAACUUGAGUGCAGAAGAGGAAAGUGGAAUUCCAUGUGUAGCGGUGAAAUGCGCAGAGAUAUGGAGGAACACCAGUGGCGAAGGCGACUUUCUGGUCUGUAACUGACGCUGAUGUGCGAAAGCGUGGGGAUCAAACAGGAUUAGAUACUCUGGUAGUCCACGCCGUAAACGAUGAGUGCUAAGUGUUAGGGGGUUUCCGCCCCUUAGUGCUGCAGCUAACGCAUUAAGCACUCCGCCUGGGGAGUACGACCGCAAGGUUGAAACUCAAAGGAAUUGACGGGGACCCGCACAAGCGGUGGAGCAUGUGGUUUAAUUCGAAGCAACGCGAAGAACCUUACCAAAUCUUGACAUCCUUUGACCCUUCUAGAGAUAGAAGUUUCCCCUUCGGGGGACAAAGUGACAGGUGGUGCAUGGUUGUCGUCAGCUCGUGUCGUGAGAUGUUGGGUUAAGUCCCGCAACGAGCGCAACCCUUAAGCUUAGUUGCCAUCAUUAAGUUGGGCACUCUAAGUUGACUGCCGGUGACAAACCGGAGGAAGGUGGGGAUGACGUCAAAUCAUCAUGCCCCUUAUGAUUUGGGCUACACACGUGCUACAAUGGACAAUACAAAGGGCAGCGAAACCGCGAGGUCAAGCAAAUCCCAUAAAGUUGUUCUCAGUUCGGAUUGUAGUCUGCAACCCGACUACAUGAAGCUGGAAUCGCUAGUAAUCGUAGAUCAGCAUGCUACGGUGAAUACGUUCCCGGGUCU